rnacentral:rRNA from 1 species
UACGUAGGAGGCAAGCGUUGUCCGGAUUUACUGGGUGUAAAGGGUCCGCAGGCGGGCAUCUAAGUCGGUGGUGAAAUCCUUCAGCUUAACUGAAGAGCUGCCUCCGAUACUGGAUGUCUUGAAUACGGUAGAGGGUGACGGAAUUCCAGGUGUAGCGGUGAAAUGCUUAGAUAUCUGGAAGAACACCAGUUGCGAAGGCUGUUGCCUGGACCGUUAUUGACGCUCAUGGACGAAAGCGUGGGGAUCAAACAGG